AUGUAAUAACUGAGAUUUUUGAUUUAUUGAUUAAACCCUUUUGUUUGACGAUGUUCUUGUGUGUAAUAUAAUUAUAAGUGUACUCGUCAAAUUUCAGGAGAAAACGAGUUAAAACGGAGAAGUUACGCGACCCGGAAGUCUGACUUAAGUGAAUAGUAACUCCGGUUUUCCGGAGAGGCCGCAGAGUAAAGUGGACUUUCGACGCGUAUCGGACUCCGAAUAUAGCCUUCCAAUAGCUCGUUUUCAACCGCUCGACUAUCCUGGACCCAAUGGCACUGACAGUUUUGGAUUUGGAUGCACAGAUUUCGAGAAAAAGGGGUUUAAUGGUUUUUGCAUAUAGUUGUCUAUAUGUGGUUUUUGAUGGAACCUAGGAAGGAAGGUUUUGUCGCAAAUCGGGAAUCUUUUCGGGCGAAACGAGAUGCUAGAUUCGACGCCUCUGUCGUGCUGAUCGCGCUGGUGCGAUCCGAUCGGAAAUCCGACGGACGGAUCCUCGGGAAUCGCGAAAAGUCCGCGAAGGGGCUGAUUUGAGUAAUCAGAUUAUUCGCGAAAAGGCCCUAUAUUUUAUGCGUCGAUUUGCGAGUUUUUGAACUCGGAGGGACUGCCGUGCAUAAAGCACUCGCUUGUAGGGAGCUGGGUUUAAACCGUUCAGCCUUGAAGGGGGGUUUUUCGCAAAGUCGCAGCACCUAUAUAUGAUGACCUAGGGUUUCUUGAGCUAACCCUAACCCUAGAACCCCCCCCCAGCUAACCCAGCCGCCCCUGUCACCACAGCACCUCCCUACCCUGUCCGUGCUCAUGUUCCGGCCACCGCCGAGCAGCCCCGGCCGCCGGAAACUGCCUGCAACCAGCCUUCCUCCUCUCCUCGGCCAUCUCUCUCCUUCUCUUAGACCGAGGGCUUGUGGGAGGGUCUCCACCGCCUCUGGAAGCAAGCCCCGGCCUCCUUCCACCUCAGGUGUGCCUCUCCCCUAGCUCCGGCCGCCCCCGAGCGUCGCCGGAGCCGCCGGGAGAGGCUGUAGCCAGCCGGGUCUGCCCUGAACCGAGCCNGGGAUGGAGGUAGCAGGGAGCGGCUAGGGCAGCAGGGUUAGGGUUUCCAAGGUGAAACCCUAGAACAAGCUUAAAUACCAAGUGCAAUUUGCAAAAAGGUCCACCAAAUCUCAGUAUUUACUACUGAGUCCCUCACAAUGCGUGUAAAACGCGCGAACACCCCUCCACGUGCGAUCUUACGCGAAACGGUACAUAAAAUAUCGCAACUUUUGCGAAAUUACCGUUUUGCCAUUACCGACCUCUCCUCGAUCAACGCGUAAUCUCCGCAGAUCCGUCCGUUAGAUUUGCGAACGGAUUGCACCAGUGCAAUCAGCACGACGGAGGCAACAAAGCUGCGAUUUCGUUUCACUUCGAUCGACCACGGAUUCACGACACAAUCCAAUCUUUCUUUCCAACAGAAGAAAUAACACCUAAAUACAUAUAAAAUAUGUAUUUUU
rnacentral:lncRNA from 1 species